AGCGAACGCUGGCGGCAGGCCUAACACAUGCAAGUCGAACGAACCUUUCGGGGUUAGUGGCGGACGGGUGAGUAACACGUGGGAACGUGCCUUUAGGUUCGGAAUAACUCAGGGAAACUUGUGCUAAUACCGAAUGUGCCCUUCGGGGGAAAGAUUUAUCGCCUUUAGAGCGGCCCGCGUCUGAUUAGCUAGUUGGUUGAGGUAAUGGCUCACCAAGGCGACGAUCAGUAGCUGGUCUGAGAGGAUGAUCAGCCACAUUGGGACUGAGACACGGCCCAAACUCCUACGGGAGGCAGCAGUGGGGAAUCUUGCGCAAUGGGCGAAAGCCUGACGCAGCCAUGCCGCGUGAAUGAUGAAGGUUUUAGGAUUGUAAAAUUCUUUCCCCGGGGACGAUAAUGACGGUACCCGGAGAAGAAGCCCCGGCUAACUUCGU
rnacentral:rRNA from 1 species